rnacentral:rRNA from 1 species
AACGUAGGUCACAAGCGUUGUCCGGAAUUACUGGGUGUAAAGGGAGCGCAGGCGGGCGAUCAAGUUGGAAGUGAAAUCCAUGGGCUCAACCCAUGAACUGCUUUCAAAACUGAUCGUCUUGAGUAGUGCAGAGGUAGGCGGAAUUCCCGGUGUAGCGGUGGAAUGCGUAGAUAUCGGGAGGAACACCAGUGGCGAAGGCGGCCUACUGGGCACCAACUGACGCUGAGGCUCGAAAGUGUGGGUAGCAAACAGG